rnacentral:misc_RNA from 1 species
UGGCUCUCGCAUCGAUGAAGAACGCAGCGAAAUGCGAUAAGUAAUGUGAAUUGCAGAAUUCAGUGAAUCAUCGAAUCUUUGAACGCAUCUUGCGCCCUUUGGUAUUCCGAAGGGCAUGCCUGUUUGAGUGUCAUUAAAUUAUCAACCAUAACCAAUUGAUUUUGGUUUUUGGCUUGGAAGUGGGGGUUUUUGCCGGCUUUCACAAGUCAGCUCCUCUUAAAUGCAUUAGCGGUUUCUACACUUUGAAUGGUGUUGGUGUGAUAUUCUAUCUACUCCAAAGUAAAUCCAAUCAAGUAUCUAUUAAACUGCUUCUAACCGUCCUUUACCGGGACAAUGUAAUGACAAAUUUGGCCUCAAAUCAGGUAGGACUACCCGCUGA